rnacentral:rRNA from 1 species
CCUACGGGUGGCAGCAGUGGGGAAUAUUGCACAAUGGGGGAAACCCUGAUGCAGCGACGCCGCGUGCGUGAAGAAGUAAUUCGUUAUGUAAAGCUCUAUCAGCAUGGAAGAAAAUGACGGUACCUGAGUAAGAAGCCCCGGCUAACUACGUGCCAGCAGCCGCGGUAAUACGUAGGGGGCAAGCGUUAUCCGGAUUUACUGGGUGUAAAGGGAGCGUCGACGUCAGUGCAAGUCUGGAGUGAAAGGCGGGGGCUAAACCCCCGGACUGCUAUGGAAACUGGAUGGCUGGAGUGCAGGAGAGGUAAGUGGAAUGCCUAGUGUAGCGGGGAGAUGCGUAGAUAUGAGGAGGAACACCAGUGGCGAAGGCGGCUUACUGGACUGUAACUGACGUUGAGGCUCGAAAGCGUGGGGAGCAAACAGGAUUAGAUACCCGAGUAGUC